GAUGACUCUCGGCAACGGAUAUCUCGGCUCUCGCAUCGAUGAAGAACGUAGCGAAAUGCGAUACCUGGUGUGAAUUGCAGAAUCCCGUGAACCAUCGAGUCUUUGAACGCAAGUUGCGCCCGAGGCCAUCCGGCCAAGGGCACGCCUGCCUGGGCGUCACGCUU
rnacentral:rRNA from 1 species